UUUGAUUUCCUGAUCCGCGCAACCUGCGAGGAAAGCCCGGCAGGGUCCUUUGGCCGGAGGACGACCCCGCGGAAGGUGGGUGGGAGAGUGGGUGGGUCCGGGUCCUCGCCCUCCCUCCCUCCUUCCCUCCUUCCCGCCCAGCUGGCGCCGAUGAGCCUCCGCCCAGGUGAAGCUGCCUCCACCUGAGGACUAGCCGCUUGGACCUUCCAACCCCGCGGCUGUGGAAGAUGUCAAUAUUUCCCUGAAACAAGAUUAAUCAAUGGGCAGAGAUCAUGUUCCGGAAAUUGACUGUGGGUGGAAACAACAUUGCAUCAUUCAAGGUGUGCAUCACCAUUAACUUUGCUUUCUGCAUCCAUCAUGGACAUCCAGCUUCAGAAAGACGUUACGGCUCAAGUCAUGACAGGAAUUAUAAUUAUGAGCACUGUCUGGUUUGUUCUAACGGAUGUGACUGUUAAGAAAAACGUACUAUGGGAGAAGAUUUGGUUUGCCAAUAAAACUAUUAAGGAAUCUUGGGAGAUCAACUCGGGAUUACAUUUAGAACUACAAACAAUGAGCGUCAGCUACUAUUUGGAUUGCGGAUGACCAAUAACUUUUUGGUUUUUGAAAAAGAAAAUUUCCUUGGAUUGAUCCCAGCCUAUAAAUAUUUACUAUGGAAGUUUUCAAGACUAUUUGCAGACUGCUGUAUGGCUAAUGCUACAGAAAGCAUAAAAUGAAGAUUGAAACUGAAUACCAGUCAUGUGACAAAAGACUGAUAUGAUUAAUAGUACUGGCUACUUGUUCUGAAUAGUCCUUUCAGAACAUCAGAUAUUCAAAAAUAUUUUUGCUUUUCAGAUUGUUUUGAAAUUUGUCAUACAUUAUUAACAUGCCUGCACAUUUACCAUAUACAGUGGAGUCUCACUUACCCAACAUAAACGGGCCGGCAGAAUGUUGGAUAAGCGAAAAUGUUGGAUAAUAAGAAGGGAUUAAGGAAGAGCCUAUUAAAUGUCAAAUUACAUUAUGAUUUUACAAAUUAAGCACCAAAACUUCAUGUUUUACAACAGAUCAACAGAAAAAGCAGUUCAAUACAUGGUAACGUUAUAUAGUAAUUACUGUAUUUACAAAUUUAGCACAAAACGUUGCAGUGUAUUGAAAACAUUGACUAUAAAAACAUUGGCUACUUACAAAUUGACUACAAAUAAAGAUAGAAUUGCAUAAAAUGAACUUUCAGUAACAACAUUGUCGGAAAUUAAAUCCGUAAAAUGUUCACUCCUUGCUGCCUAGAGAAACAGCUGUGGAUCCGGGCAGGAGGCAGACUGCGUUGGAUAAUCCAGAAUGUUGGAUAAGUGAAGGUUGGAUAAGUGAGACUCUACUGUAUACUUGUGUAUAAAAUGAUCUCAUGUAAGUCAAGGGCAGGCUUUGGGGCCAAAAUUAUGGAUUUUGAUAAGAUACAUAAAUAAGUUGAUGAUCAUUCUGUGGAGAUGGGAAAACACCACUGUUGCCUCAGGAGGCCAGCUAUCCUUUGCCGCUGUUGCCAUCACUUCCGCACCCUCACAUUCAAAAAAAUCAGAAAUGGCUCUGGGACAUUGAGAGUAGAUAUAACUAGUGUAUCUUUUGGGUUAUCCUGGGUGGACUAUUACAGGGGUCCUCAAACUUUUUAAAUAGAGGAACAGUUGGUCCCUCAGACUGUUGGGGGGGAAUUAUAGUUCGAAAAAAAGAAAACAUGAAUUCGUAUGCAUACUGCACAUAUCUUAUUUGUAGUGCAAAAAACUACAAAAGAACAAUACAAUAUUUAAAAUGAACAACUUUAACCAACAUAAACUUACCAGUGUUUCAAUGGGAAGUGUGGGCCUGCUUUUGGCUAAUGAGAUAGGUUAAUUAGGAUUGUUGUUGUGUGUCUCAAAGUCAUUUGAGACUUAGGGCGACCCUGUCUAUAAAGUUUAGGGCAGGGGCCAGGUCAGUGACCUUGGAGGGCUGCAUUUGGCCUACUGACCUUAGUUUGGGGACCCCAAUACUGUGGUCUUGCUUUUUGCCACUCGACUCAGAGAAGGCAAUGGUUACUUCUUAUACAGAGAGAGAGCGAGAGCGAAAGCGGGGGGAGAGUGUUAAUGUGUAGUAUUUGCAUUUACCUAUGGAUAAGCUGACCCAGGUUUUUUGGACUGAGUUUUUGAUUUAAGUUUAUAGACAUAUACAUGGGUACAGUAAGGCAAUUGUGACAUUUUUGACAGGAACAUAUAUAUAAUAAUGCAAUGAUAAUUAAAACUGCAAAAAUGAUUCCAGUUCAAGGCCAUUCAGUGGACUUCCAUGGCCGAACAGGCAUUUGAACCCUGGUCCUCUGGAGUUCUAGCUAUGACACUUAAACCAUUACUCCAUGCUGUCCAUGUGCACCCAUUGAAAUGCUAGAAUAAAUUUCACUCAAUUAACUUCAUCAAGAUGAGUCAGACAUGUGUGGUGCCAAGUUGGAAAGGUUAAGGCACACGCUUGAGUUGCCAGCUGAAAUUAAGGGUGGUGCUUCCGUCCUUUUAAGGGUUAUGUAGAAGAAUUUCCCUAGGUGUUCCUUGUCAAAUGCCUGCGUGACAAGGAACACAUGCCAAAUUUCCCUCUUCUACACAGCCAUUAAAGGGAUAGGAACCUUGUCCCUUAUUUCACUUGGCAACACUAGCACACAUGUUCCUGACAACACAGAGUGUCUGGGGUCAGUGAGGUGGAUGCCUUGGAGAAAUGUACAGUGUGAAAGCUCUUUGGCAGGGUUAUCUGUCUUCCCUCUCUUACACUCUAGCACUGUUUGAAAAUUUUAAUGAAGUCAGUCUUGCUGCUCCCAAGAGUGAAAUCCUCAGUCAUUACAAUGGCUGGAGAAUCAUUCCUGCUGAGCUGAAAUGUUUCUAUUUUGAGAAGGUUAAUUAGCGGAUUACUAAUGAGGAAUGACUUAAUAAUAGCAGCUGUUUCAGCUUCAGGAUCUUCCAGUACUCCCAAUGUGGUGUUUCUAUUUAUUAUUCCAUUGAGAAAGAUUUGUGGGAUAGAAGUGUACUGUAUUUUUUAGCACCAAGAAUUUUCGUAACACUUAAAGAAUCUGCCUACAAUUUCACCAGUAUUGAAUAUCCUGUUCUCAAGAGAUGGGAAUAACGCGGAAGUAAAAAAGCAGGUGCUGUGGGGGGAAUGAAGUAAAUAGCUGUUAGCAGAGGAGAGAGCUGACAAGUGCUCCUAGAGAUUAAGACAAUUACCCAGCUGUUGAAACAUGUUGGAAGAUUUCAUGCAAGGAUGUCUGAAAAGGCUACUUCAUGUGCUUUACAACAGUGCCUCUUCUCAAUUGUUGCUCCUCCUGACUUUUUGGACAUCUCCCAGGAGUCUCAGCCAGCCAGGAAUUUUGUGGAGUUGAAGCCAAAAGCAUCUGGAGGACCAAAAUUUGAGGACCACUGUGAUACAAGUCAUUUAGAGCUGUGACAUACCUAACAGCUGGCUUUCAAUUAUUCAAAUUAUGGAAAACAAGAUCUCAUUCUGUUCCAUUCAAUGGCAGUUUACUAUCAUUUUGUUCCACAUGAACCACAGAAUAGUUUUAUUGGUACUGUAACCAUAAACAGCCAGCCAGACAGAAAUGGGAGGGAAGGGAAGGAUAAAAAAAUCCAAGUAAACCAAAUAAAACUGCAACAGUGGAAAAGCGCAUUUGCAUAGAGUUCUAUGAGAGUGAAAUAUCUAGAUAAAUAGCCAUAUGAUAUUGAGGUCUCUAAUACAUGGUGUUCAAUGUUCAUGGUGUCCAAUGGUGUUGUCAGAUCUUCCAGAUCCACAGGAUCUGAUGCCAACUGUAUCUUUCUAGGAAGGAAGAAAUAAAGCUUUCUAGGGAAGCGCUUAAUUGCUGGACAUAAGAUCAGAUAGGAGUCGCAAUGGCAGCUCAAGUCACAGCUGCAGCUUAAGCUGAUCCACAUAUGGUUCCUUUUUUUUUUUUUUGAGGCAUGCCUGCGGGUUGAACUCCAGCCAGCGCUGGGAAAUGAGGCUGCAGUACAAUAUAGUAUCUUCAGAAUCUACAAAGUCCUCACGUAGCCAAGGAGAGCGAUAAGCCCUUUAUGCUGAUAUUGCAAAACGGAAAGGUGACGGACACGGAUGCACCACGUCUUUCCCCUCCUGCUGCCACUCUUCCCGCUUGGCCUUCCCAGAAUAGCUGAGAAUGAAUUGUUGUUGCAAGUGAGCCUGUUGCCUGGGAUUUGCUGCUCUUGAAAUAUAUCUCAUGAAGUCCUGUUGUUGGAUAGGACUAUUGCUGUUUUUAAAUUACCAGUGACAAUGGGGUGUCAUGAGUAUAGUGGCUUUCAAGGACAGGAACUGAAAGCAUGUCUAAAAUGAGAAAGAUCUAGGCAAGAUGGGCUGAGAUGUUGAUUUAUAUGGUAUAAGACAUACACAUAGACAUUUCUGAUGUAGUUAGUUUUCUGUGCAUGGAAAACAUUGGGCUGCACAGUGGGACCUUAGUAUCUGCUUGGAUUUGGUUCCAGGGCUCCCAGUAGAUAACCAAAAUCCUUGGAUAUCCAAGUUCCUUAGAUAUACUGACAUAGUAAAGGGGUGUUCAGUAGAUAAAAUGGCAAAAUCAAGGUUUGUUUGUUUUUUGUAUUUUUGGUGUGUGUGUGUGUGUGUGUGUGUGAGUGAGUGAGUGUGAUACUGCCAAGUCAUGGAUGGUUGAACCUGUGGAUACAGAGGGCUGACUGUAUAUCCCUAUACACAGCAACAGGUACAUUGAAAGUUUUAUGGACACAAUUGUGUAAACAGAUAAAGGACUCGAGUAUUUAAUUAGAACAUUUCAAAUAGCCAUGCAAGAUUAUACUUGUAGACUUCUUUCUAAGCUUUGGAGAGGAUGCAGGUCAAUAAAGAACUUAAUCCUUCACUUCCUACUGCAGUCAAGAGGUUCAAUAGGGCUAGCCCACAGCAUCAUAUCACAUAUUGCUUGAGAUCCUACAUUGUUCAGCAUAAAGAGUCUACAUAUGGAACAUAUGGAGCUCCAACAUGACACCUAUCACCAUCCCCAGGACUUUGCUUGGCUGUGAUAAACCUAUGGCUGAUUCCAUGGCUGGUAGAGGAAGGGACAAGGCAAAACUAAAGCAGCAUCUGACUCUAUUCCCAUGACCAGAUGCAAACCAAGGACAUCACCAAGAUUCAUAUGGUCCUCCAAAGAUUUUCAAUAGAAGAUCUUAUAAAACUAAAAUUCUCACAAGUCCAUAGUAUUCAACCAGGACAGUUAAAGUGGUGUUAGGCAAAGGUAAAGGUUUCUCCUGACGUUAAGUCCAGUCAUGUCCGACUCUGGGGGUUGGUGCUCAUCUCCAUUUCUAAGCCGAAGAGCUGGCGUUGUCUGUAGACACCUCCAAGGUCAUGUGGCUGGCAUGACUGCAUGGAAUGCCGUUACCUUCCCACUGGAGCGAUACCUAUUGAUCUACUCACAUUGGCAUGUUUUUGAACUGCUAGGUUGGCAGAAGCUGGAGCUAACAGUGGGCGCUCACUCCGUUCCCCAGGUUUGAACCUGGGACCUUUUGGUCUGCAAGUUCAGCAGCUCAGCGCUUUAACACACUGAGCCACCGCAGGUGUUAAACUGCAUUAAUUCUUCAGUGCAAAUGGACCCUGAUUCCCUAUUUUCUUUCCCAGCAGAGAAGAGAGGAACAGCCUGUGAAUAGGUUGUUCUUCCCACUCAUUCCAAUAGACAGGAACUCCCAGAACAAUCAAUCAUAUUCAUUCCUCCUGCUCCAAUAGGACAUGCUUUAUUGGCACUUUUCUUCCAUUUUCCAGAACUUUUCUAUUUCCCAUUUUCCAGAACUUUUCUAUUUCUCAUUUUCCUUUACUGUCUCCACUCCAAUUCUACCUUUUCUUCUCUGAAAAGAAAAGACCAAAAUGAUACAUAUACAUGUGUAAGGUGGACUUAUUCUUGCAUAUAUCACUAACAGGAUGCCAGGCAGAAUCUGAGGAAGCCCGCUGGAUUGGCAGUGGAAUCUUUCUUCAACAUGGAUGAUAGGACCACAUCUUUUGCUGCAUCUGAAGGCAACAAACUGCUAUUUGUAGUACAACAGUCUCCUCCAACAUCUAACUGCUUCUUCAUUUGACCUUUUUUUUAAAAAAAAAAAACAACAACUUUAUUUUGAGGGGAUUUUUAAAGGCAUCAACAUAUUUCAAAUGAGGAUAUAUAAACAAUAUGCAAUUUGUUAGACAACGAACAAAAGCAUAACAGUUGACAGCAGCAAUUAAAAAUCUUUUACAAAGAUCUAGUAACAACUAUGUAGGAUACACAGAAGCCCCUGAUGGGGCAGCGGGUUAAACUGCUGAAUUGCUAAACUUGCUGACCAAAAGGUCAGUGGUUCAAAUCUGGGGAGCGGGGUGAGCUCCUGCUGUUAGCCCCAGCUUCUGCCAACCUAGCAGUUCGAAAACAUGAAAAUAUGAGUAGAUCAAUAGGUACUGCUGCAAUGGUGCUCCAUGCAGUCAUACUGGCCACAUGACCUAGGAGGUGUCUACAGACAACUCUGGCUCUUCAUCUUAGAAAUGGAGAUGAGCACCAACCACUAGAGUUGGACAUGACUAGACUUAAUGUCAGGGGAAAACCUUUACCUUUACCUUACCUAAGAUACCUUUCCAUAGGGCCUGAUACUGAAGAUGAAGUAUAUAUAUGGGGCGAGGAAAGAGAAACAGAUUAUGUAUUUGUGAAUGAUGAUGGACACACACAUACAUACAAACAUAUAUGAAUAUCAUUCACAAAUAUAAUAAAGAAAUGCCCUGUUUUAUUGAAUAUACUGUGACUUUCAGCAUUUCUAAUAAUCCUAACUUCAUUCCCAGGUUUUCCAUUGGUGCAGAACUUCAGAACCUCUUUUUCCAUUGUUGGAUUUUUUUUACCCUUUCCCUAUGGCAACAUUAUUUCAAGAAGAAAAUCUUCAUCUUGAAGUAUACUGCCAUCUUCCAAAUAAAACAAGUGAAACAUUU